rnacentral:lncRNA from 1 species
AUUUAAUGUGAUUAUAGUGAUACAAGUUAUUUAGAACAUGAUUAUUUAUUUUCUUCUUUCUGUUAUUUCUUUUCCAACACUAUUUUUUUAUAGUAAUUAAAGGGAAAUAUUAAUAAGAAACUAACUAAAAGAAAAACUUACUGUUUUUUCCAACACCAGAACAGGCCCACCAACAUUAUACUUUAUAAAAAGCCAACUACAUUAGUUU